rnacentral:ncRNA from 1 species
GGCUUAUUUUGCCCAGGCGGAGCUCGACCGCCGGUUCAAGCCAUGAUCGCCUUCAUCGACGAUCAGCGCGAGGCGCAUGGGGUCGAGCCGAUCUGCAAGGUCUUGCCGAUCGCCCCU